UACGUAGGGUGCGAGCGUUAAUCGGAAUUACUGGGCGUAAAGCGUGCGCAGGCGGUGAUGUAAGACAGAUGUGAAAUCCCCGGGCUCAACCUGGGAACUGCAUUUGUGACUGCAUGGCUGGAGUGCGGCAGAGGGGGAUGGAAUUCCGCGUGUAGCAGUGAAAUGCGUAGAUAUGCGGAGGAACACCGAUGGCGAAGGCAAUCCCCUGGGCCUGCACUGACGCUCAUGCACGAAAGCGUGGGGAGCAAACAGG
rnacentral:rRNA from 1 species